UACGAAGGGGGCGAGCGUUGUCGAUUUACUGGGCGUAAAGGGCGCGCAGGCGGUCUUGAAAGUCAGGCGUGAAAGCCCCGGGCUUAACCUGGGAAUUGCGCUUGAUACUCUGAGACUGGAGUACGGGAGAGGAGAGUGGAAUUCCCAGUGUAGAGGUGAAAUUCGUAGAUAUUGGGAAGAACACCAGUGGCGAAGGCGGCUCUCUGGACCGUAACUGACGCUGAGGCGCGAAAGCGUGGGGAGCAAACAGG
rnacentral:rRNA from 1 species